rnacentral:rRNA from 1 species
UACGUAGGGUGCGAGCGUUAAUCGGAAUUACUGGGCGUAAAGCGUGCGCAGGCGGUUUCACAAGCUCGAUGUGAAAGCCCCGGGCUUAACCUGGGAAUGGCAUUGGAAACUGGCUCGCUGGAGUGUGGCAGAGGGGGGUGGGAAUUCCGCGUGUAGCAGUGAAAUGCGUAGAGAUGCGGAGGAACACCGAUGGCGAAGGCAGCCCCCUGGGCUAACACUGACGCUCAGGCACGAAAGCGUGGGGAGCAAACAGG